rnacentral:tRNA from 1 species
GGCCCCGUGGCAGAGUGGUUAUGCAAAGGACUGCAAAUCCUUCUACAUCGGUUCGAUACCGGUCGGGGCCUCCA